rnacentral:rRNA from 1 species
CACGUAGGGGCGAGCGUUGUCCGGAAUUACUGGGCGUAAAGGGCGCGCAGGCUGUUAUGCGAGUCUGCUGUGAAAUGUACCGGCUCAACCGGUGCCUUGCGGCGGAUACUGCAUAGCUGGAGUACUGGAGAGGGAAGUGGAAUUCCCGGUGUAGUGGUGAAAUGCGUAGAUAUCGGGAGGAACACCGGUGGCGAAGGCGGCUUUCUGGCCUAUUAUUGACGCUGAGGCUCGAAAGCAUGGGUAGCAAACAGGAUUAGAUACCCGU